rnacentral:rRNA from 1 species
UACGGGGGGGGCAAGCGUUGUUCGGAAUUACUGGGCGUAAAGGGCUCGUAGGCGGCCAACUAAGUCAGACGUGAAAUCCCUCGGCUUAACCGGGGAACUGCGUCUGAUACUGGAUGGCUUGAAACCGGGAGAGGGAUGCGGAAUUCCAGGUGUAGCGGUGAAAUGCGUAGAUAUCUGGAGGAACACCGGUGGCGAAGGCGGCAUCCUGGACCGGCAUUGACGCUGAGGAGCGAAAGCCAGGGGAGCAAACGGG